rnacentral:rRNA from 1 species
GAGUUUGAUCAUGGCUCAGAUUGAACGCUGGCGGUAGGCUUAACACAUGCAAGUCGUGCGAGAAAGUAUCUUCGGAUAUGAGUAGAGCGGCGGACGGGUGAGUAACGCGUAGGAAUCUACCUAGUAGAAGGGGAUAGCCCGGGGAAACCCGGAUUAAUACCGUAUACCUCCUUCGGGAGAAAGAAGGCCUCUCUUUGAAGCUUUCGCUACUAGAUGAGCCUGCGUAAGAUUAGCUUGUUGGUGAGGUAAAGGCUCACCAAGGCGACGAUCUUUAGCUGGUCUGAGAGGACGAUCAGCCACAUUGGGACUGAGACACGGCCCAGACUCCUACGGGAGGCAGCAGUGGGGAAUAUUGGACAAUGGGCGCAAGCCUGAUCCAGCCAUACCGCGUGUGUGAAGAAGGCCUUCGGGUUGUAAAGCACUUUAAGCAGGGAGAAAAAGUUAUAAGUUAAUACCUUAUAACCCUGAUGUUACCUGCAGAAUAAGCACCGGCUAAUUCCGUGCCAGCAGCCGCGGUAAUACGGAAGGUGCAAGCGUUAACCGGAAUUACUGGGCGUAAAGCGCGCGUAGGUGGUUUGUUAAGUUGGAUGUGAAAGCCCUGGGCUCAACCUAGGAACUGCAUCCAGAACUAACUCACUAGAGUACGAUAGAGGGAGGUAGAAUUCAUAGUGUAGCGGUGGAAUGCGUAGAUAUUAUGAAGAAUACCAGUGGCGAAGGCGGCCUCCUGGAUCUGUACUGACACUGAGGUGCGAAAGCGUGGGUAGCGAACAGGAUUAGAUACCCUGGUAGUCCACGCCGUAAACGAUGACAACUAGCUGUUGGGAGACUAUGUCUUUCAUUGGCGCAGCUAACGCUUUAAGUUGUCCGCCUGGGGAGUACGGCCGCAAGGUUAAAACUCAAAUGAAUUGACGGGGACCCGCACAAGUAGUGGAGCAUGUGGUUUAAUUCGAAGAUACGCGCAGAACCUUACCAACACUUGACAUGUUCGUCGCGACUCUAAGAGAUUAGAGUUUUCGGUUCGGCCGGACGAAACACAGGUGCUGCAUGGCUGUUGUCAGCUCGUGUCGUGAGAUGUUGGGUUAAGUCCCGCAACGAGCGCAACCCUCACUUUUAGUUGCCAUCAUUAAGUUGGGCACUCUGAAAGAACUGCCAGUGAUAAGCUGGAGGAAGGUGGGGAUGACGUCAAGUCCUCAUGGCCCUUACGUGUUGGGCUACACACGUGCUACAAUGGCAUCUACAACAGGAAGCAAAACGGCAACGUUAAGCAAAUCCCGAAAAGAUGCCUCAGUUCGGAUUGCACUCUGCAACUCGAGUGCAUGAAGCUGGAAUUACUAGUAAUCGUGGAUCAGCGUGCCGCGGUGAAUACGUUCCCGGGCCUUGUACACACCGCCCGUCACACCAUGGGAGUUGGUUCUACCCGAAGCCGGUGCGCUAACCGCAAGGAAGCAGCCGACCACGGUAGGGUUAGCGACUGGGGUGAAGUCGUAACAAGGUAACC